GUGGGGGCUAUGGCUCAAUGGCAGAGCACUUGCCUAGCAUGUAUGAGGCACUGGGUUCAAUCCUCAGCACCACA
rnacentral:tRNA from 1 species